GUGCGAGGGCGCGCGUGGACGUGCUUCUCUCCGCUGUUGCUGCGCACGCGAGUGGUGCCGUGGCGGUUCCUGGGCGCGUGUCUCGUUUCUCUUCCCUUCCCGCCCUUUUCAGGGGCGCGAGGCGCUGCUGAGGAGAGCAGCAGGCGGUCGCGCUGCGCUGACUCCCGAGCCUUGCUUCGAGUGUACUUCUGCGGGGUUUCUUUCAGUAAAAUUAACAGAGAACAGACUUUUCCCUCCUGCCCCUUCGUUUUCAGCUGUCUACUUGCUGUUCCCUCGCAGCGCUCGCAGGUCAUGAAUCCAUGAGGCACCACAACAAGAGAAGAUAACCAUGAAACCCCUUAGAGAUGGAAAUGUCAUUGUUUCUAGGCCUUGUUUCUGUUGCUGUUACAAGUCAGACUGCUGCCAAGUGGUAUAUAAGCAAUCCAGGUGCUGGGAGAGAAGCAGCUUACAUCACCAGAGCAACCUCAGUGUCCAAAGUGGAAGAACCCAAGGGAGAAUUUGUAUCACAAGGUGACCUUGAGGAACAACAAGCAUUGUGGAAAAAAAAGGUUGAAGAUUUAUCAAUGCCAAAAGCAGAUGCUUCCACCACCUUCCCAAAAGCACCGUGACCCAGUGUUUUACCUAGAGAAGCAAGAGUCAAGAAUGAGCCAAAGGGGGCUUUAAACAGUCUGCAUCAGCCCAACAAAUUCUCCUGAAAUGCACCCGAGGGAAAGCAUCGCCAGUAGCAGAUCAUGGCUGUCCAGCAGUCUUUGCUCCCCCCUGCCCAGAAGCCGUGCUGUGCAAGGUAAUCAGUACAACCGAGGGAUCCAGCACUGCUGGAACAAUCCUUACCUGCAUUUUAUUUUUAGAUCUUCUCCUGGUAAGAUGACAAUGUGGUCUUUUGCAAUGCUCAGCACUGGUUUCUCAAAAAAUUCAUCCUCAGCAAGACCUGACCCAAAUAAAGAAGAAAUCAUAGUUAGGCAGGCUAUUCACUGUGGUUAGAACAUGCACAAUACUGCCGAGGAAAGCUUUUUGUUUUGUAAAUAGUUCCUAAUUUGGGGGCCCACACAGGGCUUUAAUUUAUACUGAUGCAAUUCAGUUGAGCGUGGAGUUGCACGGUGCCCACUGAGAUCCCCUCCAUUUGUUUUUCUUCCCCUUAUUCACCCCUUUCUUUUAUAACACCGAG
rnacentral:lncRNA from 1 species